rnacentral:siRNA from 1 species
GAUCAUUGUCGAUACCUGUC